CGAAAGCCUGACGGAGCAAGACCGCGUGAGGGAGGAAGGCUCUUGGGUUGUAAACCUCUUUUCUCAGGGAAGAAACCUGACGGUACCUGAGGAAAAAGCCUCGGCUAACUCCGUGCCAGCAGCCGCGGUAAUACGGAGGAGGCAAGCGUUAUCCGGAAUUACUGGGCGUAAAGCGUCCGUAGGGGGCUCGUCAAGUCUGCUGUCAAAGCUCGGAGCUCAACUCCGACCCGGCAGUGGAAACUGGGGAGCUAGAGGGCGGCAGGGGCAGAAGGAAUUCCCGGUGUAGCGGUGAAAUGCGUAGAUAUCGGGAAGAACACCGGUGGCGAAAGCGCUCUACUGGGUCGCACCUGACCCUCAGGGACGAAAGCUAAGGUAGCG
rnacentral:rRNA from 1 species